UUGAAGAUGGCGGAGAAAACAACCCGAGAUUGCUUGGAACAUUUUUGCUAUGGUAUAUGCCAGUUAUAUGGAAAACGUUAUUUGAGACACCCCACUUGGAACGACCUUCAA